GCUGUACGCUGGCGGCUUGCCUAAUACAUGAAAGUCGAGCUAUGUGACUCGAAGCUGUCUUCUCUGAUGUUAGCGCCGGACGGAGUAGUAACACGUGGAUAAGCUACGUCUAAGACUUGAAUAAGUUCGGGAGACCGGAGCUGAGACCGGGUAAAUGUUUGGACCGCAUGGUUCAAAAGUUUGUGCAGAUCUUGAUGUGAAUGAUAGAUGGAACAGCGCUGCAUUAGCUAGCUGGUAAGGUAACGACUUACCAGUGCACCGAUGUAUAGCCGACCUGAGAGAGGGAUCGGACACACGCGAACUGAGACACGGUCCAGACGCUUACGGGAGGCAGCAGUAGGGAAUCUUCCGCAAUGCGCGAAAGCCUGCCGGAGCAACGCCGCGUGAGUGAUGAAGGUAUUCGGAUCGUAAAACUCUGUUAUUAGGGAAGAACAGAUGUGUAAGUAACUGUGCACAUCUUGACGGUACCUAAUCAGAGAGCCAGGGCUAACUUCAUG
rnacentral:rRNA from 1 species